rnacentral:rRNA from 1 species
UACGAAGGGGGCUAGCGUUGCUCGGAAUCACUGGGUGUAAAGGGUGCGUAGGCGGUCCGUUAAGUCUGAUGUGAAAGCCCUGGGCUCAACUCAGGAAUUGCAUUGGAAACUGGCGGGCUGGAGUACGGGAGAGGGAAGCGGAAUUCCUGGUGUAGCGGUGAAAUGCGUAGAUACCAGGAGGAACACCGGUGGCGAAGGCGGUUUCCUGGCCCAGUACUGACGCUGAGGCACGAAAGCGUGGGGAGCGAACGGG